UGGCACAGUGGUUAAAUGUUUUUGGCUGCUAACCAAAAAGUUGGUGGUUCGAACCCACC
rnacentral:tRNA from 1 species